ensembl:lncRNA
CAGCGGGUAGGUCUCAGGCGCUUGCGAUUGGCUCGUCGGUCUGUCAGUCAACUCAUUAAGCCCCACCCCCUGUUGGCGGACACUUCCGGGACUCCGGCAGCCGAGAGCGGCUCAGUGACACUCACUCUGUGCGCCAGGAAGCGACCACAAGUGAUAAGUAAAAGAAGAAGAAAGAAAAGAAAAGAAGAGUACGAAACGCCUGCCCCCAGGUCCAAUGUCUAAUCCGAAGUACUAAAGGUGAAGAGUGUGCGACUGAGAGAGUGAGGAAGAAGGCGUCCUUUGUGGGCUCGAAGAGAAAGUCAGGGUCGUGUCCUAAACCCUCCACCCAGUAUUACAAUGAGACGAGGUGCAACAAUACACACACACACACAUACACACACACACACACACACACACACACACACUCUCUCUUGCUCGCUCGCUCUCUGUGUGUGCUGGGUUUUUAAACUGAUCUGGAGAUCUGCCAGCGAUUGAUUCGAUUUAGUCUAAACAGAUUGGUGAGAGAAAUGAAACGAGGCCGCUUUAAGGAAAACACACCCUUUGGGGUUAUUUUUAUUCCUCAGCAAUGUUUUCACGCUGUACCCUCGUAACACGCGUUCAUCGUUCAGCUUUGUAAGCCCGCUGUCCUGAAGAUGGA